CCAAACAAUGCUCCGGCCAUCCACAGCAGCUGCUCUCCAAAUGUCAGCGCCAGUCCCAGUCAAAAAAGCUUGAAAUCUACCAGGCUGAAGGACUUGGUGCUGUGCCCUGGUCUCCCACAUUUUCCCUGAGCGUUCUCAGGAACCUGGCAACAGCCAGCUGCUUCUCCCCCCCAACACCGGCCCCACACCCAACCCCCAUCCCUCCCACUCCAAAGUCUGAGAAAACAAAGUAUUGCUGCGGGCAACCCUACUCUCGACAGUCCCCUUGUGGCCAAACCUGGAACAACACGUACAUACUCAAUGGCCGCUCGGCAGCAAGUGUCCAAGAAAUGCUGGUGACUGUCUUGGACCAGUGACUGUGGAUUCUAAACUGGAUGCCAACUAGGUAAAGAAAGUAACUCCUGCCAACAGGAUUGCUCAAUGAAAAACCCAGGCCGAAUCGAACCUAUUCCCAGCCUUACAAAAGCCCUAAUAGCAGCCCUGGGAAAGCACAGAUCCUACUGUGCAUCAUCUCCUGUCUCUGGUGUCCUGGUAACUCCCUAACUCCAAGUUUCUCCAUCUUCGGAGCUGUGACUUAUUAAUGAGUCAUGACAUCAGCUGAGGGUCUUAUGACAUUGCGCAUCCUGGCCUGGAACUACAGGUGUUAUGGUUUGGAUGUGAGGUGUUCCCCACAAAGCUCAUGUGUGAGAUAAUGGGAUUUGGAACUGUGGCUGCUAUCUGUGGACCAUCAACCUCAUCUGGCUUCAUUGUCCCAUAUGUCCAAGAAGCAACAUGCCCAAGGCAGGAUAAGGAAGGAAGGAAGGAAGGAAGGAAGCAGUAUCUCUAAGAACCACAGUUCACAGUGUCGGGCCUCUAAAGAGGUCUGAAGAAACAGAAACCCAUGAAUCAAGAAUAAGAUAAGGCUAUUUGGUUUGUUUCAACCUGUGUGCCGUUUAGUUCCCUAUCAGAGCCCUGCCUGGAGAAUGAAAUCAUUUCCAUCACUCAGCCCUUCCAAAGAUCAUCAAACACAAA